AGAGUUUGAUCCUGGCUCAGAGUGAACGCUGGCGGUAGGCCUAACACAUGCAAGUCGAACGGCAGCACAGUAAGAGCUUGCUCUUACGGGUGGCGAGUGGCGGACGGGUGAGGAAUACAUCGGAAUCUACUUUUUCGUGGGGGAUAACGUAGGGAAACUUACGCUAAUACCGCAUACGACCUACGGGUGAAAGCAGGGGAUCUUCGGACCUUGCGCGAUUGAAUGAGCCGAUGUCGGAUUAGCUAGUUGGCGGGGUAAAGGCCCACCAAGGCGACGAUC
rnacentral:rRNA from 1 species